CAGUAGCAAUACUGAGUGGCAGACGGGUGAGUAACAUGUGGGAAUCUGCCUUGUGGUUCAGGACAACAUUGGGAAACCGAUGCUAAUACUGGAUAAGCCCUUACGGGGAAAGUUUUAAUGCCAUAAGAUGAGCCCGCAUUUGAUUAGUUAGUUGGUGAGGUAAUGGCUCACCAAGACAAUGAUCAAUAGCUGAUCUGAGAGGAUGAUCAGCCACACUGGGACUGAGACACGGCCCAGACUCCUACGGGAGGCAGCAGUGGGGAAUCUUGCACAAUGGAGGAAACUCUGAUGCAGCGAUGCCGCGUGAGUGAAGAAGGCCUUUGGGUUGUAAAGCUCUUUUGUAGGGGAAGAUAAUGACUGUACCCUAAGAAUAAGGUCCGGCUAACUUCGUGCCAGCAGCCGCGGUAAUACGAAGGGACCUAGCGUAGUUCGGAAUUACUGGGCGUAAAGCGCGCGUAGGCCGUUGAGUUAGUUAAUUGUGAAAUCCCAAAGCUUAACUUUGGAACUGCAAUUAAAACUGCUCGACUAGAGUUUGAUAGAGGAAAGCGGAAUACAUAGUGUAGAGGUGAAAUUCGUAGAUAUUAUGUAGAACACCAGUUGCGAAGGCGGCUUUCUGGAUCAACACUGACGCUGAGGCGCGAAAGUAUGGGUAGCAAAGAGGAUUAGAUACCCUCGUANUCCAUACCAUAAACGAUGAUUGCUAGAUGUUGGAAAUUUAUUUUCAGUAUCGCAGCUAACGCAUUAAGCAAUCCGCCUGNGGAGUACGACCGCAAGGUUAAAACUCAAAUGAAUUGACGGGGUCCCGCACAAGCGGUGGANCAUGUGGUUUA
rnacentral:rRNA from 1 species